rnacentral:rRNA from 1 species
AUCGAACGCUGGCGGCAUGCCUAACACAUGCAAGUCGAACGAGUGGCGGACGGGUGAGUAAUGUCUGGGCAUCUGUCUGAUGGACGGUGAUGACUACUGGAAACGGUAGCCAAUACCGCAUACUACCGUUUGUGCCCAGGUGGGAUUAGCUAGUGGGUGGGGUAAGGGCUUACCUAGACAACGAGCCCUAGCUGGUCCGAGAGGGUGACCCGCCACACGGGAACUGGGACACGGUCCAGACUCCUACGGGAGGCAGCAGGGGGGAAUAUUGGACAAUGGGCGCAAGCCUGAUGCAGCCAUGCCGCGUGUGUGAAGAAGGCUUUCGGGUUGUAAAAUACUUUCAUCAGGGAAGCGUUACCUGCAGAGAAAGCAACGGCUAACUCCGUGCCAGCAGCCGCGGUAAUUC